rnacentral:rRNA from 1 species
UGGGGAAUAUUGCACAAUGGGCGCAAGCCUGAUGCAGCCAUGCCGCGUGUGUGAAGAAGGCCUUCGGGUUGUAAAGCACUUUCAGCGAGGAGGAAGGUGGUGAACUUAAUACGUUCAUCAAUUGACGUUACUCGCAGAAGAAGCACCGGCUAACUCCGUGCCAGCAGCCGCGGUAAUACGGAGGGUGCAAGCGUUAAUCGGAAUUACUGGGCGUAAAGCGCACGCAGGCGGUUUGUUAAGUCAGAUGUGAAAUCCCCGGGCUCAACCUGGGAACUGCAUUUGAAACUGGCAAGCUAGAGUCUCGUAGAGGGGGGUAGAAUUCCAGGUGUAGCGGUGAAAUGCGUAGAGAUCUGGAGGAAUACCGGUGGCGAAGGCGGCCCCCUGGACGAAGACUGACGCUCAGGUGCGAAAGCGUGGGGAGCAAACAGGAUUAGAUACCCCUGGUAGUCCACGCUGUAAAACGAUGUCGAUUUUGGAGGUUGUGCCCUUGAGGCGUGGCUUCCGGAGCUAACGCGUUAAAUCGACCGCCUGGGGAGUACGG